UAAGGAAUAUUGGUCAAUGGACGAAAGUCUGAACCAGCCAUGCCGCGUGAAGGAUGACGGCCCUCUGGGUUGUAAACUUCUUUUAUCUGGGACGAAAAAAGAUCAUUCCUGAGCACUUGACGGUACCAGAAGAAUAAGCACCGGCUAACUCCGUGCCAGCAGCCGCGGUAAUACGGAGGGUGCAAGCGUUAUCCGGAUUUACUGGGUUUAAAGGGUGCGUAGGUGGAUUUGUAAGUCAGUGGUGAAAUCUCCGAGCUUAACUCGGAAACUGCCAUUGAUACGAUAAGUCUUGAAUUAUCUGGAGGUAAGCGGAAUAUGUCAUGUAGCGGUGAAAUGCUUAGAUAUGACAUAGAACACCAAUUGCGAAGGCAGCUUACUACGGAUUGAUUGACACUGAGGCACGAAAGCGUGGGGAUCAAACA
rnacentral:rRNA from 1 species